AAGUGUAUAUGAACAAAUAGUUUCUAUCGACUAGCACACAUGUGUUCCUCAUUGAAAAUUUAAUUUAUACACACCUAAUAAUCUUUCUCCUCUUUUUAUUUUUUUCGGGCUCCGGCCGUGUGUAAACUAAACCAAGGAUGAUAGUCGUUUUCUGUCUGAACAAAAACUUUUUGUCCACCCACCAUGUGAAGACGACUCUCUCGGGACCUCGGCAAUGCUGGUGCUGCUUUUUUUUUUCCUCUGGUGACGGCACUGACGUAUCUCUCGUGAGCUCACUGACCGUGAUGUUUCACCAAACAGCCAAUCACGGAGUAAUUAGCAAAUUUGACUAACAUCAAAGGCGGCGUGUUGUUUAUUUUUUUUUUCCUGUUACUUCUUCAAGGGCUGGCCUGAUCAAAAUCUUAAGAGACUGACCGUUGAUUAUUUCGCCUAUAGCUCGAUCAUUAAAACUAAACUUGCAGAAAUGAGUAGUUUUCUAACUUAAUUUGGCGUUGCAUUGAGUUAAUCUCAGUUUGCAUUGUCUUUACUUCCAGGUCGUUUAACUGGUCGUAGUCGUCGAGUGACAAUUAAUGUUGGACAAAUACUCUUAACAACUUCCUUUACAAGGUAGUACAAUAAUACUCCGUAGGCGUGAGCAGGGAUCGAUUCUCAUCUACAUAUACUAUCUUAGGAUUUGUCAAAGAAAAGAAUUAGCCUAACAUGUACGCUAAUUUUUAAUUAACGAGUGAAAAAAUAAAGCCAAGUAUCCUCAUACAUGUCAAAAAUUACUCACCACUGACAUUAUGUAAAAAGAAGAUAUGCCCCCAUACAUAUUAUUUCUAUAUUACCCACCUCAGGCCAUAACAUUAUUAAAGAAAAUAAAGCUAAGUGGAUUUGUAUUUGCAGAGGACAUAGAGAAGAUACAUCAAUAUAAUGCAAACAUUCAUGCUGCAAAGGAGGGCAAUGGCUCAGAUAGCAUGUGCAGUCACACGGGCUCAUGUUCUUGAUCCCAUA
rnacentral:lncRNA from 1 species